rnacentral:tRNA from 1 species
GCGGGGGUGGAGCAGCUCGGUAGCUCGCUGGGCUCAUAACCCAGAGGUCGCAGGUUCAAAUCCUGUCCCCCGCU